rnacentral:rRNA from 1 species
AUUGAACGCUGGCGGCAGGCCUAACACAUGCAAGUCGAGCGGAUGAAGGGAGCUUGCUCCUGGAUUCAGCGGCGGACGGGUGAGUAGUGCCUAGGAAUCUGCCUGGUAGUGGGGGAUAACGUCCGGAAACGGGCGCUAAUACCGCAUACGUCCUGAGGGAGAAAGUGGGGGAUCUUCGGACCUCACGCUAUCAGAUGAGCCUAGGUCGGAUUAGCUAGUUGGUGGGGUAAAGGCCUACCAAGGCGACGAUCCGUAACUGGUCUGAGAGGAUGAUCAGUCACACUGGAACUGAGACACGGUCCAGGCUCCUACGGGAGGCAGCAGUGGGGAAUAUUGGACAAUGGGCGAAAGCCUGAUCCAGCCAUGCCGCGUGUGUUGAGAAGGUCUUCGGAUUGUAAAGCACUUUAAGUUGGGAGGAAGGGCAGUAAGUUAAUACCUUGCUGUUUUGACGUUACCAACAGAAUAAGCACCGGCUAACUUCGUG